GGGCCGGUAGAUCAACGGAAGACCGACGCUCACGAGCAAAGCGAGUGUGCGUCUCCGUGUUAGAUCGCUACCCUUGCAAGGUAGAGGUUGUGGGUUCAAGUCCCACCCGGUCCACCA
rnacentral:tRNA from 1 species